CUACGUGCCAGCAGCCGCGGUAAUACGUAGGGUGCGAGCGUUAAUCGGAAUUACUGGGCGUAAAGCGGGCGCAGACGGUUACUUAAGCAGGAUGUGAAAUCCCCGGGCUCAACCUGGGAAUUGCGUUCUGAACUGGGUGGCUGGAGUGUGUCAGAGGGGGGUAGAAUUCCACGUGUAGCAGUGAAAUGCGUAGAGAUGUGGAGGAAUACCGAUGGCGAAGGCAGCCCCCUGGGAUGGCACUGACGUUCAUGCCCGAAAGCGUGGGUAGCAAACAGGAUUAGAUACCCUGGUAGUCCACGCCCUAAACGAUGUCGAUUAGCUGUUGGGCAACUUGAUUGCUUGGUAGCGAAGCUAACGCGUGAAAUCGACCGCCUGGGGAGUACGGUCGCAAGAUUAAAACUCAAAGGAAUUGACGGGGACCCGCACAAGCGGUGGAUGAUGUGGAUUAAUUCGAUGCAACGCGAAGAACCUUACCUGGUCUUGACAU
rnacentral:rRNA from 1 species